UCUUCCACAAUGGACGCAAGUCUGAUGGAGCAACGCCGCGUGAGUGAAGCAGGGUUUCGGCUCGUAAAGCUCUGUCGUUAAAGAAGAACGUGGGUGUGAGUAACUGUUCACCCAGAGACGGUAUUUAACCAGCAAGCCACGGCUAAUUACGUGCCAGCAGCCGCGGUAAUACGUAGGUGGCAAGCGUUAUCCGGAUUUAUUGGGCGUAAAGCGAGCGCAGGCGGUCUUUUAAGUCUAAUGUGAAAGCCUUCGGCUCAACCGAAGAAGUGCAUUGGAAACUGGGAGACUUGAGUGCAGAAGAGGACAGUGGAACUCCAUGUGUAGCGGUGAAAUGCGUAGAUAUAUGGAAGAACACCAGUGGCGAAGGCGGCUGUCUGGUCUGUAGCUGACGCUGAGGCUCGAAAGCAUGGGUAGCGAACAG
rnacentral:rRNA from 1 species